AACGAACGCUGGCGGCAUGCCUAACACAUGCAAGUCGAACGAGCUCUUCGGAGCUAGUGGCGCACGGGUGCGUAACGCGUGGGAACCUGCCUUUUGGUUCGGAAUAACUCCUCGAAAGGGGUGCUAAUACCGGAUAAUGUCUUCGGACCAAAGAUUUAUCGCCAUUAGAUGGGCCCGCGUAGGAUUAGCUAGUUGGUGGGGUAAUGGCCUACCAAGGCGACGAUCCUUAGCUGGUCUUAGAGGAUGAUCAGCCACACUGGGACUGAGACACGGCCCAGACUCCUACGGGAGGCGGCAGUGGGGAAUAUUGGACAAUGGGCGAAAGCCUGAUCCAGCAAUGCCGCGUGAGUGAUGAAGGCCUUAGGGUUGUAAAGCUCUUUUACCCGGGAUGAUAAUGACAGUACCGGGAGAAUAAGCCCCGGCUAACUCCGUGCCAGCCGCCGCAGUAA
rnacentral:rRNA from 1 species